rnacentral:rRNA from 1 species
UACGGGGGGGGCAAGCGUUGUUCGGAAUUACUGGGCGUAAAGGGCUCGUAGGCGGCCAACUAAGUCAGACGUGAAAUCCCUCGGCUUAACCGGGGAACUGCGUCUGAUACUGGAUGGCUUGAGUGUGGGAGAGGGAUGCGGAAUUCCAGGUGUAACGGUGAAAUGCGUAGAUAUCUGGAGGAACACCGGUGGCGAAGGCGGCAUCCUGGACCAUUACUGACGCUGAGUGAGCGAAAGCCAGGGGAGCAAACGGG